rnacentral:tRNA from 1 species
GGAUUGUAGUUCAGUGGUAGAGCAGAUGCCUCGCAUGCAUGAGGCACUGGGUUUGAUCCUCAGCACCA